GGAGUCCCUCCCUCUAAAAGCACUCUGUGUGGGGAACAUGAGAGCCAGACCAAAGCUCAGAGGAACCCACCUGGACCUCCACCCAGCUCUGUGUCCUUAAAGAGUGAUGUGUUGCUGGAUGUCAUCAGAAGAUUUGAAUCUUUUAAAAAGAUCCGUCAGAAACCUGAACCCAGCUUUGUGUCCUUACAGAGUGACGGGUCUAAAGGUGCUGUUCCUGACUUUAAAUCGGGCGUGUGUGGUCCUGCAGAGAGAGUGGACCAGCAGAGCUCAGAGGUUCCCAGAGGUCAGUCUGCCCAGCAGCAUCAAAC